AAUAUUGCACAAUGGAGGAAACUCUGAUGCAGUGACACCGCGUGAAUGAUGAAGGCUUUCGGGACGAAACGUUCUGUCCUAGGGAACGAUAAUGACGGUACACUAGGAGGAAGCCCCGGCUAACUACGUUCCAGCAGCCGCGGUAAUACGUAGGGGGCAAGCGUUGUCCGGAUUUAUUGGGAGUAAAGGGUCCGCAGGCGGCCUUUUAAGUCAGAUGUGAAAGACUACAGCUCAACUGUGGUAAGCAUUUGAAACUGAAAGGCUUGAGUUAAGGAGAGGAAAGUGGAAUUCCUAGUGUAGCGGUGAAAUGCGUAGAUAUUAGGAGGAAUACCAGUGGCGAAGGCGACUUUCUGGACUUAUACUGACGCUGAGGAACGAAAGCGUGGGGAGCAAACA
rnacentral:rRNA from 1 species